rnacentral:lncRNA from 1 species
UCACCUCAGAGAUCGCUGUCUGCCCCCAGGCACCGAAGGUCUAGGCCUUGGCCUGAGUGGGUUCCGCACAGCCAUGGACCCAACGUUCCUGCUCACCUCCGCACGCCCCAGAGAGUGGUGGGAACCUGGAGGCGCUCUGCCAUCAGACCUCCCACAGGUGUCACCCUGGGCCUGGAUCUCUCCAGUGCCUGGGACACCUAUAUGAAACGAUGGAUUUGGAGUGUACGGAACCCUGGGUGGACCUGCAGCCCGGUGACAGUCAAGAUUGCCCCUCCUGAGGGCAGAGGUAGUCCCCUGGCUUCUCUAGAACAGGGAGCACGCAUUGCAGAGCAUCCAGAGGAGCUUCCAGACCCUUGUGCCAAGGAGACAGUGCUGAGAGCUCUCAGCCAGUGCAAGAAGGGGACUAGACGAUUUGAUGGACCUCUGUGGUUUGAAGUCCCAGAGGUGAAAAAUAGAAGACAGAACCCAGAACCUAAGCGUUCUUCAGCCUUUAAACCCUGGAUAAAAAAUGGAGUGGCUGUUUCUUUUGUUCCCAAGCCUGGGCCUCUG